GUCUACAGCCAUACCACCUAACGCGCCCGAUCUCGGGAGCGAAGCAGGGUCAGGCCUGGUUAGUACUUGGAUCAGAGAAAAGGUUGAACUUGAACAUAAUUAUAGGUAACAGUAAAAU
ensembl:rRNA 5S_rRNA 5S ribosomal RNA